UGAAGAAUACAAAACUGAAAGUAGGGCAAACAGAUCUCUGGACAUACCAGAGCUGAGGUGAGAUAAGACAGAUGGAAACCAAUGUAAUUCAGACGAAAAGGGAAUGCAACUCAAAAUACCAAGGAAAAACAAGAAAGGCCAUUGUGAAUCAGCAGCUGAUGUCCUAUACAACCAUCCUUCCAUGACACAUGCAAUGGGAAGUUUAAUUUCAGGAAACAAAGCCUACCUGAAACUUCAAAAUGACGUUUCCAGAAAGCUAAAAAUCAACAAAAAAUGGCUAGUAUUGUAACUAACACCUUACAACCCAGAUUUCAUUCCACUGAAAAGAAAAGGGGCA